rnacentral:rRNA from 1 species
UACGUAGGGGGCAAGCGUUGUCCGGAAUCAUUGGGCGUAAAGAGCGUGUAGGCGGCCCGAUAAGUCCGCUGUGAAAGUCCAGGGCUCAACCCUGGAAUGCCGGUGGAUACUGUCGGGCUAGAGUGCGGAAGAGGCGAGUGGAAUUCCUGGUGUAGCGGUGAAAUGCGCAGAUAUCAGGAGGAACACCCAUUGCGAAGGCAGCUCGCUGGGACGUAACUGACGCUGAGACGCGAAAGCGUGGGGAGCAAACAGG